UACGGGGGGAGCAAGCGUUGUUCGGAUUUACUGGGCGUAAAGGGCGCGUAGGCGGCGUGACAAGUCACUUGUGAAAUCUCCGGGCUUAACUCGGAACGGUCAAGUGAUACUGUCGUGCUAGAGUACAGAAGGGCAACUGGAAUUCUCGGUGUAGCGGUGAAAUGCGUAGAUAUCGAGAGGAACACCUGCGGCGAAGGCGGGUUGCUGGGCUGAUACUGACGCUGAGGCGCGAAAGCCAGGGGAGCAAACGGG
rnacentral:rRNA from 1 species